GGGCAUGCUAACCAUGCAAUGUCGAACGAGAUCUUCGGAUCUAGUGGCGCACGGGUGCGUAACGCGUGGGAAUCUGCCCUUGGGUUCGGAAUAACUUCUGGAAACGGAAGCUAAUACCGGAUGAUGACGUAAGUCCAAAGAUUUAUCGCCCAAGGAUGAGCCCGCGUAGGAUUAGGUAGUUGGUGAGGUAAAGGCUCACCAAGCCGACGAUCCUUAGCUGGUCUGAGAGGAUGAUCAGCCACACUGGGACUGAGACACGGCCCAGACUCCUACGGGAGGCAGCAGUAGGGAAUAUUGGACAAUGGGCGAAAGCCUGAUCCAGCAAUGCCGCGUGAGUGAUGAAGGCCUUAGGGUUGUAAAGCUCUUUUACCCGGGAUGAUAAUGACAGUACCGGGAGAAUAAGCUCCGGCUAACUCCGUGCCAGCAGCCGCGGUAAUACGGAGGGAGCUAGCGUUGUACGGAAUUACUGGGCGUAAAGCGCACGUAGGCGGCUAUUCAAGUCAGAGGUGAAAGCCCGGGGCUCAAACCCGGAACUGCCUUUGAAACUAGAUAG
rnacentral:rRNA from 1 species